UGAAAAUGUGAAUGGAAGGUGAAACACAAUUGAAUAAAUAUUAUUUCAUCAUUUGUGGGAGAUAAUGCCUGACUACGUCACGUUCCAACAGUCAUUAACAAAAAAAAACUCGUUAAGUUAGCCAUCAAAAACUCUUGAAUCCCCGAAAAUUACCGGAAUCAGACUUUAGUUGAUGUCGAAAGUCGUUUUAUAUAUUUUUUUUUCAUCAGUAUUCCCCUGUUAACUCAAAAAUAAACAAAAAAAAAUCAUGGGUAACUAACUGGUUUACAACGAGUCAAUUAAAAGUUUAAGUUUAAUUAGAAACUCAACUUGUACGAGGACUGCAGAGGAAGACAUCAAGAUAGAUAGUGAUGGUAUAUAUGUCUUAUCCUCCCCCUCCCACAAUCUCCAACCCCUCUCCCGCCCUCUCGUACGCGUUAAAGACAGAAAAUAAGACGGUAACAGAAAUAAGAGAAAAGAUAGACUCAAAAAGAGAUGAGAGAUGGUGUGAGUGUGCGAGGAAGGUUCGAAAUGCUGCCCUCGUUCGCCUCGUUCACUCAUUUUCUACCUUCCACUUCCGUUCUAGGUAGUUUCCGGGUACGAGGAUGGUGUGCUUCCUUUGUUCCAGUGAAGGAAAGUCUCUGAGGACUCGUGUCGGUCUACUUCACAGUGGAAGGAGAAUGGAAGAAGAAAAAAAAGCGGACGGAUGAUAACGAAAAAAAACCGGGAAAUGGUGACGCCACCUGGACCUGGAAAUUCGUUGAUUGCUAUACAUUAUAAAAUUCCAUCGCAUGACCGCCAUAUUUUUCCGAACCAGAGAAGUUUUAAAACGCCACAUCAAUUCGCAUUCCCGAAGUGAAGGAGGAAAGGGGCAGAGUGAACAACAAAAAUUCCCGAGCACACGAGACACUCAUUUAAUUGCCAGCAACAGGUGAUCACGCAGUUUACACAACUGGCUGGGAUAAACCUCGGGUAAUACCUAUAUGAUCCUGACACUCGUCACUCUGUUGUCAGUAUAUAUUACGGAUGAUUAAGGAAUUUUCGUGAAUUGCGAGGAUAAUUAUUCGGCAAUUUUCCGGUCCCCAGAUAUAAUUAUUCGGUGAUUUUCCAACUUUCCCACAUCUUUCAGGCGCUGGAAAACAUCUGAAUCGAAUGGAAAUUUAUCAGUAAUUUAAACAUUAAUUGAGAUGUUUAGGUACCACUUCAUCUAAAAUUUUUUUUAAAUUUUUCAUCUCAAAUAUUUUAGUGUUUUGUAUUGCAGUACACGAAGAGAAAUUUCUGGGAGAAAUUAUCCUUCCGUUUGGUAAA